UGGGCCUUAGCUUAAUUAAAGUGUCUGAGUUGCAAUCAGAGGAUGUAUUAUAGAGUUUUACAGGUCUUAC
rnacentral:tRNA from 1 species